UGAUAACUGCCUGAGUAUCCUUUUGCAACCCCGAGCACGUCCCGUGCUACCCCCCUAAUCAAGGUCGCCGUCGCUGUCCACAUAGCAUCCGCUUCCCCAGAACUCCUUCAAGCUCCGCCCUCAACUAACCUCCUUUCCAACUCCUGAGCUUUUUCCUUUGACAGAGCACCCCAUCUUAUCCGCGGUUGACCCCGCGCGCCUCUCCUCUUCCUCUUCACCCAGAGACCGACAUCCAGCACCAGGAGUCUAUGGAGAGUAGAAAGAGACUCUCCCGGAAUAACCUUGCAGUCCUUGCACAGGCCCCUNNN
rnacentral:lncRNA from 1 species